rnacentral:tRNA from 1 species
GCCAGAGUAGCCCAACGGCAGAGGCGACAGUCUUAGGAACUGUUAAGUAAGAGUUCGAAUCUCUUCUCUGGUAC